rnacentral:rRNA from 1 species
UACGUAGGUGGCGAGCGUUGUCCGGAUUUAUUGGGCGUAAAGGGCGCGCAGGUGGUGCGGUAAGGCUGCCGUGAAAUCUCCCGGCUCAACUGGGAGGGUGCGGUGGCGACUGCCGGACUGGAGGCACUCAGAGGCCGGUGGAAUUCCCGGUGUAGUGGUGAAAUGCGUAGAGAUCGGGAGGAACACCAGUGGCGAAGGCGGCCGGCUGGGGGUGACCGUGACGCUGGAGGCGCGAAGGCGUGGGGAGCGAACGGG